UACGUAGGGUGCAAGCGUUAUCCGGAAUUAUUGGGCGUAAAGAGCUCGUAGGCGGUUUGUCACGUCUGCUGUGAAAACUGGAGGCUCAACCUCCAGCCUGCAGUGGGUACGGGCAGACUAGAGUGCGGUAGGGGAGAUUGGAAUUCCUGGUGUAGCGGUGGAAUGCGCAGAUAUCAGGAGGAACACCGAUGGCGAAGGCAGAUCUCUGGGCCGUAACUGACGCUGAGGAGCGAAAGCAUGGGGGAGCGAACAGG
rnacentral:rRNA from 1 species